GACGUAGGAGGCGAGCGUUGUCCGGAUUCAUUGGGCGUAAAGAGCACGCAGGCGGUUUGGCAAGUCGGGGGUGAAAUCCCGAGGCUCAACCUCGGAACUGCCUUCGAUACUGCGGGUCUCGAGUCCGGGAGAGGUGAGUGGAAUUCCUAGUGUAGAGGUGAAAUUCGUAGAUAUUAGGAAGAACACCAGUGGCGAAGGCGGCUCACUGGCCCGAUACUGACGCUGAGGCACGAAAGCGUGGGGAGCAAACAGG
rnacentral:rRNA from 1 species